rnacentral:rRNA from 1 species
GACGAACCGUCCAAACGUUAUUCGGAAUCACUGGGCUUACAGAGUUCGUAGGCGGUCUGGAAAGUUGGGUGUGAAAUCCCUCGGCUCAACCGAGGAACUGCGCCCAAUACUACCGUGCUUGAGGGAGAUAGAGGUGAGCGGAACUUAGGGUGGAGCGGUGAAAUGCGUUGAUAUCCUAAGGAACACCGGUGGCGAAAGCGGCUCACUGGAUCUCUUCUGACGCUGAGGCACGAAAGCUAGGGUAGCGAACGGG